UACGUAGGGGGCGAGCGUUGUCCGGAUUUAUUGGGCGUAAAACGCUUGUAGGUGGCUACGUCAAGUCGGACGUGAAAUCUCCCGGCUUAACUGGGAGGGGUCGCUCGAUACUGUCGGGCUCGAAUCCGGAAGAGGUGAGUGGAAUUCCUGGUGUAGCGGUGAAAUGCGCAGAUAUCAGGAGGAACACCAAUGGCGAAGGCAGCUCACUGGGACGGUAUUGACGCUGAGACGCGAAAGCGUGGGGAGCAAACAGG
rnacentral:rRNA from 1 species